rnacentral:rRNA from 1 species
CGCGUAGGUGGCCUGUGGAAGUCUGCGGUGAAAGUCCGGCGCUCAACGCCGGAUCGGCCGUGGAUACUCUCGGGCUUGAGCUUACUAGAGGCAGAUGGAAUUCCGGGUGUAGCGGUGGAAUGCGUAGAGAUCCGGAAGAACACCGGUGGCGAAGGCGGUCUGCUGGGGUAAUGCUGACACUGAUGAGCGACGAGGCGGUAGGGAAGCAAACA